GUUAAUCUACAGGAAGUGAAACGGUCAACUUAUGAUCAUACAAGGAAAUGUACAGACCAGCUACUACUCUUGGGUCAAACAGACAGAGCUGUGCAGUUGCUGUUGGAAACAAGUGCAGAUAACCAGCAUUAUUACUGUGAUUCACUGAAAGCCUGUUUAGUCACUACUGUCACCUCGUCAGGCCCCUCUCAGAGCACCAUUAAGUUGGUGGCAACGAAUAUGAUUGCCAAUGGCAAAUUGGCAGAGGGCGUUCAGUUGCUGUGCCUGAUAGACAAGGCUGCAGAUGCCUGCCGCUACCUGCAGACAUACGGCGAGUGGAAUCGGGCUGCAUGGCUGGCGAAAGUAGGUGGUUCCAAGUUUCAAUAGGUGCCCUCAACAUUUGGGAUAGAAAGCUCAGUCCUGAACUUUGGACUUAUGACUUAGAAACAUUUUUUGGCCUGCAAAGCUGCUUUGCAAAUACUAUCUUGGAACCGUCAUCCUUUUCCUAUUCUUUAUGAGUGUAAAUUGCAUUACUUAUUUAAAAAUGGAUCUUGCAUUGGUAGCAAUUAAGUAAAAGCAGCUGCCUCCUCUUCCUCCCGGAGU
rnacentral:sRNA from 1 species